GUUCUGUGCCUGCCUGUUCCAUCGCGGCUUUUUGGAAGCAACUGCUUCAGCGCUGCCAUCCUUAUCAAAGCAUUUGUCCACACGUGGCUUUGAGCUGAAUCAGAGGGAAUAGGUCAGAUUUGUAACAACCUCCUGUGUGCCUUUGUUAGGAGGUCUUUGUGCUAAUGGAAGGCACUACAGCUUUAGCUUAGCUUCUCCACAACCCCUCUCACUGCAACAAAGCCCCAUGGAGAUAAAGCUGCAAGAGUAUGGAGCGCUCCCCCUUGCACCAGCAGUUUUUGUGCUGUUCGUGUUAUCAAGAAACGGCGCCCAAACUCUCGGCUCCUGGCUCACCGCCUGCUGCAGAAGUGGUGCAGCAGUGCAAGUAAGGAAAAUGAUUUAUGAUCAAGAAGGGAGCAUCUGGCUAAACCUUUCCUGUGCUGACAGGCACUACUGAUCUGGAAGACAUUUGGGAAGACCAAAAGCAGUGUGACUUUAACAGAUGGAUCACAAUCGCUGGCAACCUUCAGAGGACUACAAACGAGGUCUGAGGUUAUUUGUUCUAAACUGUCAUUUUUUUCCUGGUAUUAUGUAAGUGAAAAUGGAAAAUAAGCUCUUCAGCAUCAGGUGUUGCUCACUGUCAUUCAACUGCUCGUUAAUUAUUGUCAGGUGUGUGAAAAGAAAAUCAGAAUGCCAGAAUGCAUCACAGUCUCAGAGGCAGUCAGAGCUCUGUCAGCACUGCACUCCUGUCCGGCUCUCCUCCACAGCCUGACUGCUGCACAGCACUACCAACAGGUCCCAAUUUCUGUUUCUCAGCCCCCAACACACCACUGCACGUUCACACACCCCUGUGGGGUUCUUAAAACUGUAGAAACAAACGCCUGUAAGAGAGCUGCCAACUUCUAUGAGGCAGAGCCACCGCCUGCAGCUGAAAACAAGUCUCGACAGCUGCCACCUCUUUGGAAAGGACACCUGAACGUGGAACACAAUCCAUCACAGAUAACGCGCUCAGAGGACGUGUUUUGUUUCAGUGUGUGCAGAACAUUUGCUGCAGGCAGCGCUUCGCAUCGCAUGCGACACAACAAAAGCAAAAUGCCUCCAAUUCCUUCUUCCUCUUCUGCCAUCGACGCCAGGCAAGUAUUCCUAAACCCCAAGUUCUCCGAGGUACAUUAAACCCACAGGAUGGCAGUAUGAGCAGCAUUCCUUCGUGUUUUCUGUUUCCUUACCAGUGUCUUCCUCAGUGUAACUCCUGAAGCAAGCCCUCAUUGGAGUAACCGAUAAAGUGACUUCUUCUUGACUCGUUGGAAAGUGAACCAUUAUAUCAGCCAGCAGCCUAUGAAGAUGAAUUUAGCACUAAAAUGAUUUACAUGAGACAAGUCAUUGUCUAGCAAUGGCAAAGGUGUGGAUUCAAAUCGUGGACUAUGUGCUUCUCAAGCUGGCAGCAGGAUUAAUGGCACAACCACCCCUGAUCAAAUCCAGCUCCUGAAGCUGUUAUGUGAAAUAUCCAACAUCACAGCAAGGCAUUUAGCAGCAAUUCACCAUUUCUGAGUGUGGGCCCUACCCACAUUUUGGUCAUGUUAGUGACAGCUGGAGCAGCACUGUCCUCUGGAUUCUUGUUAUUCUUUUCCCCAGAACAAAACAUUUGAAUGUUCAUUACCUGGAGUGGGCUCUGAGGACAUUUGGACACAUGUGCUUUGCAAAAACAGCCUGCAAUGGGUCACAUUCUUGAAAAGCCAGAUUAUGUGUUUUUACAAUACCUAGGUAUAAAAUAUGUGAAUGAAAAUCAAUGCUGGUCUAGAAUUCUAACUUUUUAAUAUUAAUUGCUCUUCCAAGACAUCUCAACAAAGGAAAUAAAUGACUCACUCUAGCUGUGUAGCAAUAUCUCACCCACAAAUAGAAAACCAAAUUCUGGUGCCCUCUGCCUUCCUUCAUCCUCCUCGUUAUAUCCUCAAGUCUCUGACAUUUUUAAGAAUUCACAGCAAAUGACUUCACAGCAACAGAUGCAGGAAGAAAACCUUCAACAUUUAAUUGUUACAGCAAUAUAAAUGCUGGUGGAAAACAAAGGACAAUUAACAAGUACACAUAAUUACUGACCGGAUAAAAGUCAGUCUGGGAAAUGCUGUUAUAACUGCUUUUUAGCAAGGCAAUGUCACGACAUAAAUUAUGAUGUGAAGAGGCUGAAAGCGUUUGGCAUAAUGUCCCAUCAGUGACACUCAGUUAAUAAUUACACCUCGUCCUGCUGUCAGACUGCUCCUGGUUGUGGAAAUGCACUCUAUGUAUCACGUACCAUUUCUGCAGAGGAGCUGAAAAGUUAUGUGGCGAUCUUUAGCGUUUGUGUAAAUGCUGCAUUUCUCCACGUGCCUUUCCAGCACGUUUACACAUCUGAAUAUAGGAAGAACUGACUGAAAAAAAGCAUACAAUCAGUGCAGAGGUUACUCUCUAAGACAUUUUGCAGUGUUAUUUCUCUCAUGCAGUUCAUCCCCAGCUCCUGCUUUUAUGACUGUUCUGUAAGCAAAGCGCAGGCUGCUGGCGUUGAUCUUUGCUGCCCUCACCCACCCACAGCCCUGUUUGCAGAACAGUGUGUCAAUGUUCUCCAGCUCACGCUGUUCUCAAAGGCUAUAGGGGAAACCCUCAUCAGACAGAAACACAGCAUUCCUUCACCCAAGAUGAGGCUGAUUCAGACUUUGGAAUCUGCAAGGGCUGAGGCGCAGCCGUGCAGCAGUAAUGUUGAAAAAACAUGGAUGAGAAGAAGACAUACGCGUAUGCUGACCGAGAAGAAUUCACUGAUCUUAAGGC